rnacentral:rRNA from 1 species
UAGGGAAUCUUCCGCAAUGGGCGAAAGCCUGACGGAGCAACGCCGCGUGAGUGAAGAAGGUCUUCGGAUCGUAAAAUUCUGUUAUUAGGGAAGAACAAAUGUGUAAGUAACUAUGCACGUCUUGACGGUACCUAAUCAGAAAGCCACGGCUAACUACGUGCCAGCAGCCGCGAUAAUACGUAGGUGGCAAGCGUUAUCCGGAAUUAUUGGGCGUAAAGCGCGCGUAGGCGGUUUUUUAAGUCUGAUGUGAAAGCCCACGGCUCAACCGUGGAGGGUCAUUGGAAACUGGAAAACUUGAGUGCAGAAGAGGAAAGUGGAAUUCCAUGUGUAGCGGUGAAAUGCGCAGAGAUAUGGAGGAACACCAGUGGCGAAGGCGACUUUCUGGUCUGUAACUGACGCUGAUGUGCGAAAGCGUGGGGAUCAAACAGGAUUAGAUACCCUGGUAGUCCACGCCGUAAACGAUGAGUGCUAAGUGUUAGGGGGUUUCCGCCCCUUAGUGCUGCAGCUAACGCAUUAAGCACUCCGCCUGGGGGAGUACNACCGCAAGGUUG